GCGCGCUAUUUAAGAUGUGUAUGAACUGUUUUUUUCUGGAAUUCGCUAAUUAAUAUUUUCAGACCGUGGUUGACCGUGGGUAACCGAAACCGCAGAGAGCCAAACCGCAGAUCCUUCAUACUGCAUGCCUGGAUGCUAUAACCAGAUUUCACCAGUGAGGAGGUGUGGUUAGCCUGGGGUCUCCAUCUUCAACAGAGAUGCUCCAGAUAAACUCUUCUUUCAAGCAGAGUUUGGGCUACACCGCAGUUCUUCCCCCAUGGAGUCAACUCUGAAACAUGCAAGAGAAACUGUAAGGAAUUGUAUUCAAGAAAACAUUUCCAGGGAUCAGAAGUCCUUCGUGGGUCUCAAUGGGCUAAAAUCAAGGUGCCUGCGGGGCUGCAUUCCUUCUGGAGGCUCUAGGGAAGAAUCUGUUUCCUUGCCUUUUCCGGCUUCUAGAGGCUGCCCACGUUCCUUGGUUCAUGGCUCUCCUUCUCCAUCUUCAAAUCCUGCAGCGACUGGCCUUCUGCAAGUGCGUCAGAUUGGGCCGCGCCCUGGCCAGCCUGGUCCUGCAGGUGAAGAGGACGGUGAGGCCCUGAUACGGCUCUGCCCCUCAGACGUGGGAUGGAAAUGAAUCCUCCCAGCAUGGUGUUUCAUACAUAGCUGGUGCCAGGAGGAAUAUUAAAAAUAUUUAGUAACUGACUAGGGCACCAACUGGUCAGAACAGAUGUUGGGGGCUAACACCUCGUACAGCGAUGCCACCACGAACCCACUAAAUGUCAGCCCUGUGGGGUACAGAAUUGUUCAUUGGCUCAUAAAAUGGACCCAGGCUGUGACCGGUUCCUUCUUCUGGAGCAGAGGGGUUUUCUCUUGCUGGCUGCCUCCAAGUUCCCAGGGUUUCAUACAUUCUGCACUGGACAGGCUCGCCAGGACAUCGAAGACCACUACCAACAGCUGCUACAAGUUUAAAACCUUUAGAAGAAGGAAUCGAUUGCAGUUUGCUCCUGAGGGUCUCAAGGGAAAGGGUUCUCUUCUUUCCAUGAUCCUUCUUGCUCGCCGAUUCCCACCAGCACGCUCAAGACCAGCAUCGCUGAGCCCUCGCUGUGUGCCAGACCCUGUCACCACAGAGCACUGAGCAGAGUUCCCUGUGCUAUACGCAUUACAGAUGUGACUGUGGAAGCCAAUACGAUAAUACAGAGUGAAAUUCAUGUACUGCCAGCAGAUUUAGCUGUUUUCUCGCCACAUGUUAUGUUCGUUAAGACUGAGCUAUCAUCAAAACAAAACAAAGGAGUCGUUCAGGAAGGAUUACUACUCAUAUAUUAAAGACUCCAAGUCUGAGGCUCUUUCAUCAUCUCCCAUAUCAUCAGUCAUCAGGAGAGAACGUUGAGGGAGAGCACACACUGCCUUCGAAUAAACCUUCCCAAACCUUCUGAGUUGUGAUAUUCAACAUAUGAAUAUUAUAGCACAGCAAUGAAAAAGGUGAGUCAGGACUUCUCUGGUGGCGCAGUGGUUAAGAAUUCCCCUGCCAAUGCAGGGGACACGGGUUCGAGCCCUGGACCGGGAAGAGCCCACAGGCUGCAGAGCAACUAAGCCCAUGUGCCACGACUACUGAGCCUGCGCUCGAGAGCCCACGAGCCACAACUAGAGAAAGCCUGCGUGCAGCAAUGAAGACCCAACACAGCCAAAAAUAAAUAAAAUUUAAAAAAAAAGAAGGUGAGUCAAAGGCAAGCAAAGCAUUAUGGUGUCUACCUGCAGAAGGAACCUCCACCUUCAUCUGGGCUGCAAGAACCAGAAUGAGCCUAUUAUCCAUUUUUGAGUGCAGAGCCAGGCCUCAAAUGUAUCUCCAUGUUAUUUCCUCUUCUUAAACCUGAAAUAAAUUUUAGUUUUUAAGCUAUAGCAACAACAACAACAACGACAACAAAUGGUUAUUCCAUGGACCGCAGCUUCAUAAUAGUUUCACACUUCAGUCUCAACACUGUCGCACCUCUGAUGGCACAGAGUCAGCUCCCCAACAAUGAUGGCCUAAUUCAUAAGAAAGCACCCAGCACACUCUCUGGCACCUGGUAUUAAUAACAGUUGAUCGUAACUGUUGAGAACUGGAAUUCAAUGGCAGCUUCCUCUACGAGUUUCUCCAAGAUUUGUUUGAGGAAGUUUUCCACCUAGGAAAUCAUACCAACGUCCUUUUCUCUUAUAACUAAAUAUCCCUAGAAAUGGAAGCUUGCAGGUUCCUAUCUUUUUCAAGGCUCAACUUUGCUUCCAAAGAGUUAUGAUUUGCUCUGUUGAAGGAAAUCUUAAACAUACAAAACUAAUUGCAGACCGGAUUUUGCAGUAGUCACUGAAGUCCAAAGUUUUAAAUUAUUUUCAUGAAUUAUAGUGGAAUGAAGGAAGGGAAAUGAUGUGAGGGCAGGAUGGCUAUUUUUGUGACUUCUUGUAAGAAAAGUGUUUUAUUCUUCACAAUUACUCAUCCUUUGGAAGCAGGGCUAAUCCUUUAUCUGAGAAAGGCAACAAAUCAUGGUGUCUGAUUGGAAGGGCACAGAGAGGUCUCUUUUCCACUCCAGUAAGAAAAAUAGUUCUCUGAUUGGUCUGCCACUAUGUCUGAAAUUCCAACUAUGAUGCCUUAGUCUAAAGACAAGACUCUAUUAUAAAAAUGCAAAUACAUUCUCCAGGAAAGGUAAUAUUUUAUAUCCGUACAGAUAAUAAAUUUAAAAAAACUAACUGGUCCAUUAGCUUGUCCCAGAGGAAAUGGGUGCUAGAGAGGGUUCCAGUCCCUACAAUAUAUUCAAUCACAGAUGGAUCACCACUUGUUAGUAACAUUACAAAAGUGACUCUUACAUUGAUCGGGGCAUUGUGAUUGCAUGAACACUAGUCCGUGUGCUCUCUGAGGCCAGGAGCCCCAUCUCCCUCUUGGAGUCCCCAGCAUGUAGCCUGUGGCCUGCUAGCACAUAGUAGGCUCUGUAGUCCCCUAGCCCCCUUUUUUUUAAAGACUAUUCUUUUUUUAAAAGAGCAGUUUUAGGUUGACAAUAAAAUUGUGAAGAAGAAGGUACAGAGAUUUCCCAAAUACUCCCAGCCUCCACGUAUCCAUAGCCACCUCUAUCAACAUCGCUCAAUAGAAUGGUACAUUUCGGGCUUCCCUGGUGGCGCAGUGGUUGAGGGUCUGCCUGCCGAUGCAGGGGACGCAGGUUCGUGCCCUGGUCCAGGAGGAUCCUACAUGCCGUGAAGCGGCUGGGCCCGUGAGCCAUGGCCACUGAGCCUGCGCGUCUGGAGCCUGUGCUCUGCAACAGGAGAGGCCACAGCAGUGAGAGGCCUGCGUACUGCAAAAAAAAAAAAAAAAAAAAAAGUACAUUUCUUUUCUUUCCCUUUCUUUUUUACCAAGGAUGAACCUACUUUGACACAUCAAAUUACCCAUAAAUCCAUAAGUUUAUCUUAGGGUUGACUCGAUGUUUUACAUUGUAUAGGUUUGGACAAAUGUGUAAUGACGUGUAUCCAUCAUUAGAUCAUGCAGAGUGUUUUCACUGCCAUCAAAAUCCCCUGUGCUCUGUCUAUUUAUCCUCCACCUGCCAACAACCACUGAUUUUUUUGUUAUCUCUGUAGUUUUGCCUUUUCUAGAAUGUCUUAUAAUUGGAAUCAGACAGUAUGCAGCCUUUUCAGAUGGUCUUCUUCGCUUAGUAAUACGCGUUUAGCUCUUCUGUGUCUUCAUGGUUUCAUUGCUCAUUUCUUUUUAGUGCUGAAUAAUAUUCCGUUGUCUGGAU